rnacentral:rRNA from 1 species
AACGUAGGUGGCUAACGUUAUCCGGAUUUACUGGGCGUAAAGCGUGCGCAGGCGGCUUUUCAAGUCAGAUGUAAAAUCUCCUGGCCCAACUGGGAGGGACCAUCUGAUACUGUUGAGCUCGAGUGCAGCAGAGGAGAGUGGAAUUCCCGGUGUAGUGGUGGAAUGCGUAGAUAUCGGGAGGAACACCAGUGGCGAAAGCGGCUCUCUGGGCUGUUACUGACGCUGAUGCACGAAAGCGUGGGGAG